CGUAGGGGCAAGCGUUAUCCGGAAUCACUGGGCGUAAAAGGGUGCGUAGGCGGUCUUGCAAGUCAGGGGUGAAAGGCUACGGCUCAACCGUAGUAAGCCUUUGAAACUGCAAGACUUGAGUAUGGGAGAGGAAAGUGGAAUUCCUAGUGUAGCGGUGAAAUGCGUAGAUAUUAGGAGGAACACCAGUGGCGAAGGCGACUUUCUGGACCAUUACUGACGCUGAGGCACGAAAGCGUGGGGAGCAAACAGGAUU
rnacentral:rRNA from 1 species